rnacentral:lncRNA from 1 species
UAUGUGGUAGGGAAGAUACUUGCAUGAUAGAGUGUGCUGUUUAUAUUUCCAGGAUUUGAUUUGUAUUUAAUUGGGUGUUCAUGGUUACGAAAUCACAACAUGAUAAAACAGGUUAAAUGCAGAACUAGACACAGACAGGAUAUCUUAAAGGAUGAAUUCAGUAUACUCACCUACUACGAUGAAUCUUUGUGCAUACCUUGAUCGUGGGGGUAUAUCCUGAAGUGGGACACGCUCGUAUUUCAGUAAAUAAAAUUACCUUAACGUAUCAUACGGUAAUGGUACUUGAAAUGUUCAUGCAUUUUGUUUAAGUGGACAAACAUACUGGUAAUCGUCUUGAACUGCUUUUCACGAAAAAUUAAAUAAAGAAUUAUCUAAUUGUGUGAAACAGUUUGAUUAUGUUGAUAUGAUCUUCUUACCAGUGAUUCUCACAAAAAUAGAGUGUUUUUUUGUUUUUGUUAUUUACUUGCUUUCAGAAAAAUAUAAAAAUACAAAAAUAGUGUCUUUUUCUGUUUAAAAUUCUUAACGUACGGAAAACUGUUAUUCUUGGAGGAAUUGUUACCGAUAGGGGGAGACAGUGUUAGAAAGUGAGUUCAAAAUUUUCAAUCAGGCAGGUUCUUUUGUGUUGGACAAAAUGUUUUGCGUGUUGAUUGAAGCAGUUUGUUGCUGAGAAGUUGCUGUGACGUGUGAAGAUGAGAGUUUGAUUGGCUGCAUGGUAGAACCUCCUUUCUAAAUUGCAGACAAGAUUGAAGAGUUGAAGAUUGCUGUGCAAAUGCUAAACUGGAGUUUAUUCAAGUGCUAACGUGUUGAAGAUUUGGUGAUUGGAUGCAUCAGCUUAGGGGGAGUCUGUUGCUGACAGAAGCUAUUGAAGCUGAAGCUAUCCAAAGACCAAAGACAGUGCAAGACUGCAUGAAGAUUGCAAGAAGACCGAAGACAAAGUUUUGACUCAAGACAAAGUUUUUAUGAAGCUAUUGUCAAGGGGGAGUUUGUUGGUGCAUGUUUGUGACAACAGCUUAGAUUUGGUCUUUGGAUAUCUUGUAAUUAGUUAAACGAUAAACAGUUAGCGGGUUUAGCUUUGUAAUAGUUAGUUGUUAUGUUUGGGCUAACUAAACCCAAGGAAUUGGGUGAUGGGGGCGAAUUGGGCCUGUCCAAUUCGCAGCCCAGGAGUCUUUAACCUAGCCCAGUUGUGAACCUUGUGUUAUAUAAACAAGGUUAGACAUUAGGGUUAAGGUUAAUCAGCCAAAACAGAGUUUGAGUGACCUUGAAAUUCGUGAGAGAUAGCUUGGACGAAUUUGGAGGGUUAGGGUUUAGAUUGAUUGUAAUUCUUGUUUGAUUGAUAAUCAAUAGAAACCCGGGUU